rnacentral:rRNA from 1 species
GUAGGUGGCAAGCGUUGUCCGGGAAUUAUUGGGCGUAAAGCGCGCGCAGGCGGUUCUUUAAGUCUGAUGUGAAAGCCCACGGGCUCAACCGUGGAGGGUCAUUGGAAACUGGAGAACUUGAGUACAGAAGAGGAAAGCGGAAUUCCACGUGUAGCGGUGAAAUGCGUAGAGAUGUGGAGGAACACCAGUGGCGAAGGCGGCUUUCUGGUCUGUAACUGACGCUGAGGCGCGAAAGCGUGGGGAGCAAACAGGAUUAGAUACCCUGGUAGUCCACGCCGUAAACGAUGAGCGCUAAGUGUUAGGGGGUUUCCGCCCCUUAGUGCUGCAGCUAACGCAUUAAGCACUCCGCCUGGGGAGUACGGCCGCAAAGGCUG